rnacentral:rRNA from 1 species
GGGCCCAAGUGAAGCGGCCACAGCUCCCUUUGAAACCCUCCCGAUUGUAUUUGAAAAUUUGUCUUUGGAAAAGGCUAACCCAAGUUACUUGGAAUAGUACGUCAUAAAGGGGGAGACCCCCCCUGGCUAACCGUUCUCCAUGUAUUGCCUUUUCUAAAAAUCAAGUUGUUUGGGAAUGCGCCUCACAGGGGGGGGUAAACUCCCUCUAAAGCUAAAUACUGGUGAGAAACCGAUAUCGAACAAAUACUGUGAAGGAAAGGGGAAAAAAACUUUUAAAAAAAAGUGAAAUAUUAUGUGAAAUUUUUUUUUGGGAAGGAAAUGAUUGGAAAGGGGGGGGGGUUUCUCCCUUCUUUCAAGGGGGGGGGCUACCAACGCCCAGUCAUUGUUUGCGAGACAGGGGGGAUAAACGGAGGGCACUUGGGCUAUUCUCCUAACCCCUCUCCUGCCCCCAACGACAUAAUCCCCCCAUUUCUCCCGUCUUGAAACACGGACCCACAAA